rnacentral:rRNA from 1 species
CCUACGGGUGGCAGCAGUGAGGAAUAUUGGUCAAUGGACGAGAGUCUGAACCAGCCAAGUAGCGUGAAGGAUGACUGCCCUAUGGGUUGUAAACUUCUUUUAUAAAGGAAUAAAACGAGGCACGUGUGCCUUUUUGUAUGUACUUUAUGAAUAAGGAUCGGCUAACUCCGUGCCAGCAGCCGCGGUAAUACGGAGGAUCCGAGCGUUAUCCGGAUUUAUUGGGUUUAAAGGGAGCGUAGAUGGGUUGUUAAGUCAGUUGUGAAAGUUUGUGGCUCAACCGUAAAAUUGCAAUUGAUACUGGCAGUCUUGAGUACAGUUGAGGUAGGCGGAAUUCGUGGUGUAGCGGUGAAAUGCUUAGAUAUCACGAAGAACCCCGAUUGCGAAGGCAGCUUACUAAACUGUGACUGACAUUGAUGCUCGAAAGUGUGGGUAUCAAACAGGAUUAGAUACCCCAGUAGUC